rnacentral:rRNA from 1 species
AUUGAACGCUGGCGGCAGGCCUAACACAUGCAAGUCGAACGGUAACAGGAAGAAGCUUGCUUCUUUGCUGACGAGUGGCGGACGGGUGAGUAAUGUCUGGGAAACUGCCUGAUGGAGGGGGAUAACUACUGGAAACGGUAGCUAAUACCGCAUAACUUCUCAAGACCAAAGAGGGGGACCUUCGGGCCUCUUGCCAUCGGAUGUGCCCAGAUGGGAUUAGCUAGUAGGUGGGGUAACGGCUCACCUAGGCGACGAUCCCUAGCUGGUCUGAGAGGAUGACCAGCCACACUGGAACUGAGACACGGUCCAGACUCCUACGGGAGGCAGCAGUGGGGAAUAUUGCACAAUGGGCGAAAGCCUGAUGCAGCAAUGCCGCGUGUAUGAAGAAGGCCUUCGGGUUGUAAAGUACUUUCAGCGGGGAGGAAGGGAGUAAAGUUAAUACCUUUGCUCAUUGACGUUACCCGAAGAAGAAGCACCGGCUAACUCCGUG